CCUACGGGGGCAGAAGUGAGGAAGAGUGGUCAAGGGACGAAAGUCGGAACCAGUCAGGGCGAGUGAAGGAAGACGGAUCGAGGAGUUGGAAACAGCUGUUGUACGAGGGGAAAGCCCGAUACGUGUAUCGGGUUGAAAGUACCGUACGAAUAAGGAGCGGCGAACUCCGUGUCAGCAGCCGCGGUAACACGGAGGAUUCAAGCGUUAUCCGGAUUUAGUGGGGUUAAAGGGGGCUGAGGCGGGUCGGUAAGUUAGAGGUGAAAGCCCGGGGGUCAACUCCGGCACUGCCUCUGUGACUGUCGGGCUAGAGUUUAGUUGCGGUAGGCGGAAUGUAUGGUGUAGCCGUGAAAUGCAUCUAGAUCAUGCAGAACACCGAUUGCGAAGGCAGCUUACCAAACUACGACUGACGUUGAGGCACGAAAGCGUGGGGAGCAAACAGGAUUAGAUACCCGGGUAGUC
rnacentral:rRNA from 1 species